UACGAGAGGACCGGGAUGGACGCACCGCUGGUGUACCAGUUGUUCUGCCAAGGGCAUCGCUGGGUAGCUAUGUGCGGACGGGAUAAGUGCUGAAAGCAUCUAAGCAUGAAGCCCCCCUCAAGAUGAGAUUUCCCAUUCCGCAAGGAAGUAAGAUCCCUGAAAGAUGAUCAGGUUGAUAGGUCUGAGGUGGAAGUGUGGCGACACAUGGAGCUGACAGAUACUAAUCGAUCGAGGACUUAACCCACA
rnacentral:rRNA from 1 species